GCAAGCACGAAAAUCUUCUGAUGAUUCCAUGAACAUCGAAUCGCCUCCUUCCAAAGAUAAGGCUAUCUCGCUCACUGAGUAAUCCCCUCUUUGUUUUCCUCCUUGAAAGGACGAUUACGUUCAAGUCUGCUUGGGUCUCAGGAACGCCGUUGGGGAUAGUAUAAGUCGGGUAACAGGAAUUGAGGGUAUAACUAUGCAGUCUUGGGAGCUGGACGCUAAAAAUAGCUUUUGCUUUCACUCGUCGCCGUCGUUUCCUCCUCGAGCGUCCGAGUUAUCUUCAGGGGUCCAACGCUGCUAGCCGAGAAUGGUCCUUUUGCGUUUGACGUCGCUCAUCAGGAGUACCAGUAUAUGCAAGUUUGACAGCCCAUCUGACACCCAAUUUGGUAACACCGAUGGUAUCACUCUAUCCUAUUUUUCCCUCUAAUAAAUCCGGUGCUUCUUUUUUCUA